AGCUCAGUCGUCUCUUGCAAAUCCAACAAGAUAUGAACCACCAGCAAAAGAAACUAGAUUCUCCUCAACUGCCAAGGUGGAUUCAAAACCUUUCAUAAGCCAGGAGUUGAUAAAGGAUUGCCAAGGUACAUAUCAUAAGCUACAGCACAGACCUCUAGAUCUUCGACUUUCUGCUGAUGAAUUCAUUAACCAUGUUGAGGAGGAUUUUCGAAAGAAAGGGAAUUUUUAC
rnacentral:misc_RNA from 1 species